CCUACGGGCGGCAGCAGUGAGGAAUAUUGGUCAAUGGGCGUAAGCCUGAACCAGCCAAGUCGCGUGAGGGAUGAAGGUUCUAUGGAUCGUAAACCUCUUUUAUAAAGGAAUAAAGUGAGGCACGUGUGCCUUUUUGUAUGUACUUUAUGAAUAAGGAUCGGCUAACUCCGUGCCAGCAGCCGCGGUAAUACGGAGGAUCCGAGCGUUAUCCGGAUUUAUUGGGUUUAAAGGGAGCGUAGAUGGGUUGUUAAGUCAGUUGUGAAAGUUUGCGGCUCAACCGUAAAAUUGCAAUUGAUACUGGCAGUCUGGAGUACAGUUGAGGUAGGCGGAAUUCGUGGUGUAGCGGUGAAAUGCUUAGAUAUCACGAAGAACUCCGAUUGCGAAGGCAGCUUACUAAACUGCCACUGACAUUGAUGCUCGAAAGUGUGGGUAUCAAACAGGAUUAGAUACCCCUGUAGUC
rnacentral:rRNA from 1 species